UGUCAGUUAUUUGUCAGGAAGCCGCUCUGAUCCUAGGUCUCCGCCAAAACUGGUGUCCUGCAGACAAACCAAAGGUUCAAUGUAAAAAAGAUCCAUGUGAUUAACGGAACAGAUGUCAAAACAUUCCUCAAGCUCAAUGUCGUCCGUACUAUUGUGGAGGAUGUUUUAGAAAAUUCUACAUAAGCGCAUUUCCAGCUAUAGAAGUAACCCGUUUGUGUAUACCAAUGGAACCAUCUCUUUAAAAACAAUUAAGUUCUUAAAAACAAUGCAAUACAUUUGUUGUAUUCAAUAUAAACUAACAUUACAUGA